GGCGUGCUUAACACAUGCAAGUCGAACGGGAUCCAUUAGCGCUUUUGUGUUUUUGGUGAGAGUGGCGAACGGGUGAGUAACACGUGAGUAACCUGCCCUUUUCUUUGGGAUAAGCCUGGGAAACUGGGUCUAAUACUGGAUGUUCCGGCUUCCUCGCAUGGGGUUGUUGGGAAAGGUUUUUUCUGGAUUGGGAUGGGCUCGCGGCUUAUCAGCUUGUUGGUGGGGUGAUGGCUUACCAAGGCUUUGACGGGUAGCCGGCCUGAGAGGGUGGUCGGUCACACUGGGACUGAGAUACGGCCCAGACUCCUACGGGAGGCAGCAGUGGGGGAUAUUGCACAAUGGACGGAAGUCUGAUGCAGCGACGUCGUGUGGGGGA
rnacentral:rRNA from 1 species